ensembl:lncRNA
CUGGCUCUAGGGGACUACUAGGCUACAUGAUUGUGUUGUCUUGCAGACGUUUAUUGUGAUGUUGAGGUUGUGGGGAUUUGUCAAUUUUUUCUUAAGAGUAUUUGGGAUUUGCAUUUUGUUUGUCGCAGACAUUUCAGUAGAGAAGCAGCUAGCAAAUCUAAUGAGAAGGUGUGUGUUACCCAAGUUGAAGAAGAGGCGGAAGGGGAUCUCACAAGGGAUCCCCCCAUCCUCCCCGGGGAAGGCGAGCUGUGUUUUUCCAUUGAAAAGACACUUGUAUUUCUUCUACUCUUUCAGGGGAGUGUAAGUACAUCUGAAAUGGAGUCUGAUGCAAUGGCCCAGUCUACUCCCAAGAAGACAGAAAGACCUGCAUUUCAAUCAUCCUUGACUAUUUUGCUAAACAGUCCAGAAACACUACCUACACAUCAAAAUGAGACCAAACAUUAAUUAUCCGGGUUAUAUUUAGAACGGUCCCCAUUAUGGGAAGAAUCAUUAGACCAGACAGUCAUUGCCUCUUCUCCACCUGUUGCUUGCAGUGAUGUCACUUGUAACACAGUUGUGAGUUCUUUAGUUUUUGAUGCAAGGUGUGACAGUCCAGGUGUCAGCGCCAAGUACUGUAUCUAUUUGUUUCAGGAUGACUUCACUAAAGAGAUUGUUCACUUUGAAAUGGUUCAGGUGACUGAAGCAAGCAGUUCACUGGCAAUGGAGUUGGUUGGUUUCCAGAGGGGUUUAGAAUACUUGCUGGAGAGGGGGGAUCAAUUCGCAAAAUACUGAGGGAAGAGUGCAACAAUAUCCAACACGAAUUUGAUCCCUGGCACGUCAGCAAGAAUCACCAGAGACGCGAGAGGUGGCUGGAGUCGGACUCACCAGCUUUUCUUGGACUGCAGGAGUAUAGUGAUGGACAAAUUCUCCUGAGAGACUUGAGGCAGAUGUCACUCUUCAAGCACACUGGCCACAUAUGUCCUUGGCAACUAGGGAGGCGUCUGGCUCAUGCAAUGAGCCAUUCAUUCAUGUAUCAAUUCUGGCAAUACCAGCAGGCCCAAUAUCCUCCCACUGCAGAAAACAAAUGUGCGUUCGCACGUGGUGGGGGUUCUCGUCAACGCAGACUGGAACACCCCCUUCUACUUCUUCGUCCCCUUUCUUGCUGAACUGUACUAAAAUGUCAAAGUAUACUACUCCGACUAAUCCUUAAUCCGUGUUGUAAAUAAACUUCCAAA